rnacentral:rRNA from 1 species
CCUACGGGAGGCAGCAGUGGGGAAUAUUGGUCAAUGGGGGGAACCCUGAUCCAGCCAUGCCGCGUGUGUGAAGAAGGCCCUCGGGUUGUAAAGCACUUUCAGUGAGGAAGAACGCCUGGUGGUUAAUACCCAUCAGGAAAGACAUCACUCACAGAAGAAGCACCGGCUAACUCCGUGCCAGCAGCCGCGGUAAUACGGAGGGUGCGAGCGUUAAUCGGAAUUACUGGGCGUAAAGCGCGCGUAGGUGGCUUGAUAAGCCGGUUGUGAAAGCCCCGGGCUCAACCUGGGAACGGCAUCCGGAACUGUCAAGCUAGAGUGCAGGAGAGGAAGGUAGAAUUCCCGGUGUAGCGGUGAAAUGCGUAGAGAUCGGGAGGAAUACCAGUGGCGAAGGCGGCCUUCUGGACUGACACUGACACUGAGGUGCGAAAGCGUGGGUAGCAAACAGGAUUAGAUACCCCGGUAGUC